CGUGUAACCCUUGAUGUUCUUCCGCUCCAUGCUCCGUGCUUGUGUAGUUUCUAACAAUUCUUUCAUAUAGCUCUUAAUGUUCUUCUGCUCUGUGCUCUGUGCUUGUGUAGUCUCUAAUGAUUCUUCCAUAUAGCUUCUUAUGUUCCUCUGCUCUGUGUUCUGCACUUGCAUAGUCUCUAACAAUUCUUCUGCAUAGCUUCUUAUGUUCUUCUGCUCUGCAUUCCACACUUGUGUAACUUCUAAUGAUUCUUACACAUACCCCUUAAUGUUCUUCCGCUCUGUGCUCCACUGUGGAGCGGCUUCUGAUAUUCUUCCACCCCAAACUUUCCCCUAUAAGAACCCCC
rnacentral:sRNA from 1 species